rnacentral:rRNA from 1 species
UACGUAGGCGGCAAGCGUUGUCCGGAUUUAUUGGGCGUAAAGAGCGUGUAGGCGGCCGUGUAGGUCUGACGUGAAAUCUGGAGGCUCAACCUCCAGCUGUCGUUGGAAACCGCUCGGCUAGAGUCCGGAAGAGGAGAGUGGAAUUCCUGGUGUAGCGGUGAAAUGCGCAGAUAUCAGGAAGAACACCUAUGGCGAAGGCAGCUCUCUGGGACGGUACUGACGCUGAGACGCGAAAGCGUGGGGAGCGAACAGG